CGGGGUGAGUAAUGCUUGGGAAUCUAGCUUAUGGAGGGGGAUAACUACGGGAAACUGUAGCUAAUACCGCGUAAUAUCGAAAGAUUAAAGUGUGGGACCUUCGGGCCACAUGCCAUAAGAUGAGCCCAAGUGGGAUUAGGUAGUUGGUGAGGUAAAGGCUCAUCAAGCCGACGAUCUCUAGCUGGUCUGAGAGGAUGACCAGCCACACUGGGACUGAGACACGGCCCAG
rnacentral:rRNA from 1 species